rnacentral:lncRNA from 1 species
CAACGAAGUAUCAGUACAAGCGUAAAUCGCUUCUAAAUAUCCUUAACGAAUACCACAGGUCCAGGUUCUAUGGCUUCCACAGAGGCCAAGAGAUGACAGACAAGUUAGUGGGGAGGACGAGGUUUGCAAAAAGAAAAUUACCUUCUUCGAGCCUCUCCCACUCUCGCUGGUCAUGGGGUGUUCCCCUCACCUCCCGGCAGCGGGCCUCCCCGGGGAUCGCCACGCACGAGACCAUGUGCACCCGCCACUUUCACCGCGUGGCCAGCUCACCGCCCGCCCGCGGUCCCCGGAGCUCUUGGGGCGGGCAAACGCAGCGAGGUCUAGGUCUUGCUCGAGAGGCACUAAUACGCGGUACCGUCCGAGAAGCCGGGACACUGUUGUCUAGUAAGAAUGUUCAU